GCCCGGCGCCAGCCUCCCGGGGCCGGGCGCUGGGGACGUCCGGAAAAGCAGCAGAGGACAGUCCCCAGAGAGUUCCCACCUCCCCGAAGUAAAGUUGGCUGUCCCCUCCCUCCCUCCGAGGAGCAGGCGGCCAGGGCACGUUGGUUUCGGCUUUUGCUGGGCAGGAGUCGAAAGAACUAGAUUCCGGGGUGCGGAUCGCGGUGUCAGGGCCCGAGACCACACCAAGUUGCUCUGGCAAAAGUUAGGGGGAAAAAAAAGGAAAGGAAAAGGCAUUUUGAUUUGGAGUGGGGGCGGGGGGGGGGGGAAGUGGCGCUUCUGGUUUCUCCUGCUUCCAGUCCCCACCGUGGGGAGCGUUGGAAUGUGCCGCUCAGAUCCUCUGAGGACACAUCCAUAUUUAUAAUUUAUUUUUAGGAGAAGUUGUGAAAAAGGGAGGGGGUUUAAAAUGGGGAGAAAAAGUGUGUGUAGGGGGUGGCCUUUCUCGAACCCAGAGGCUAAUGGAGCUAUUAAGAUGGAAAUAAUUUCCGCCAAUCUGGGCAAGUAGCAAAUUUGACUUUAAUGAGAGACAAUUAAGGGCGCAAAUAACUCAACUUGAGCUGGAUGGGGAGUGGGGGGCGUGGAACGGUACCGGACACCCCCAGGCACUCCGUUUGCGCUUGGCUAAGGAGCAUUUUGGGUGCCCAGCGUCUUCCCUGGGAAGACAUCAGGCCUGACUGUGGGAGUCGGGGCAAGGGAGGGGAGAGAUCCUCCCAUAGGGUGAGCAAGUCCACACCCCUCCCUACCCUGAGACCCUGGCUUUGCCGUGAGCUGAACUGUCAUCCCUGUAGGAAAGCCCAGUAAUGAUUCCUUUAAUUAUCCAGGAUUCUCCAAGAUCCUGCCUCAGAGGCAGCCCGUCCCGGUGCUGUGAGCUGUGCAGGGGAGUUCUCGAAAGGGUGGACCCGGAAUGGGAAAGGAGGUUUUCGAGUCUGUGGUCCCAGAAUCGGGGUUUUGAGGGCGAGAUGAGUUUAUGUUUUAUCCAACUGGCCCACAAAGUCCCGCUUUUGGGGUCAUUCCAAACAGCGAGGGAUUCAGGCCCCAGCAGUCCCUGGAGAGUGAAGGCAUAGCUACCCCCCCCCCCCCCCCCGGGGCUGCAAGGCUCAAAGUCGGUUGGAGAAACAGGGGGGGGGAGGUUUGCUACUUUUGGUAAAAGUGAAAGGCCAUUUGGGGGUGAUAUUCUUCCAUACGUGUGUACAGGGUGUGUGUGUUCUCAGUUUGUUGAACCUGCUAUGUUUUCAAGGGCCUCUUUCCUUGGGAGGCCAAAAUGAGAUGCGAGACGGCGAAAGUACACAUUUCUUUUUCUGCCCAGUGGUUUAAGGAGAUGUUCUAGCGGACUGGUGUCGUGGGAAUGGGUGGCACAUGGGUUGUGUCAAAGCAUGUGACACCCCCAAAAUCAAACACCGCUGAAAUCGUGAAUCCUGAUUGCAUUAGGUCUGUCUUUGCAUUUGUCAAAGGAGGAACUCUCUUCUUGCUUCCACGUGGAAUUGCAAUAUUUCUUUGCAAUUCUUUGCGGUCUCGCUCUAAAUCCUUUUAUGAGAAAGUCUGGAUAGGUGUUCACAGGGAAUUUUCUAAGGGAAGGAUGUUGGGGGGCCAGUGCCCCUCCCAGAACAUUAACCUUAUUAAGUUGUAUUAAUUUACACACACACACACCCUGCCCUCCGGUUUUAACCUAUCUAGACAUCCACAUACCUUAAGUUUAUUUAUUUGCAAACCAAGAUUUCAACUAAUUGUUCACCGCAGAAAAUAGAAAAGCCAGCUGUACCUGCGAAACUUGUGAACACAGAGCCCUUGAUAUAAGAUUCAGUGUUUAAAAGACAUGGCACAUGUACCCACAGAUGACAUUGGUGCUCCCGAAUCCUUGGCAAAAACAGUUCUUGACUUCCAGAAUUCUCUCUCUUUGUUAUGGGUCACGAUGAAACAGCACAAUUUUCAGGAGUCCACAAUUCCAGCGUGGCGAGGGGCGAUUGUCACGUUGUGAAAUAAAUUGUUUGCCUUUUGCUGAAUCGUCACCCCAUGAUAGCACCCGAGAGCUGACUGUCAGCUUCUAUUUGCUUUGCUAAAAAAGGAUAUCUCACCAAAUUAGCCUUUAAUGAUACUUCUCCAAAUGGGGUGUCUUACGUGAAUUAACGAGGCCGGAACGCUGAAUGUUGCACUGAGAUUCGGAGCUGUAAUCGAGGCGGUGAAGCUCUAUGUUAAAAUUACGGAAUUGUUAAGUGUGGAAAAUCAGACAGAAUUUAGUGCUGUAACGCAUGCAAGCAUUCGCAACAGUACAGGCAUUUCUUAUAUUCAGCCCUCUGAAACCGUGCAUGUAAAUAUGAAUACAUUUAGCAAACUUCCCCCCCCCCCCCACCGAGUCUGGAAACAGGCAAAGUAGUAUGGGGAAGAGAUUAUAAAUCAGUACUUUGCAGUGAGAAGUCGUCAUUAAUUCGGCAGAGAAUCACAGCCUCCUUUUAUAUUCUCCCCACCACCCCCCAACCAAUAAGGAAAAAAACCCCAACUCAACGUGGAACUGCUAAAUACACUGAAUACAUUCGGGCUUUUCUCCUUUCGCCUGUGUGUGAAAUUUCAUUAAGCAGUUGCUAUUUUUUCCCUCCAAAGAAGUGGGGAUUUAGGAAAAAAAAAAUAGCAACUUUGAAUUUAGUUCUUUAUGAUACACAAGCCAUGGGGAAAAAAUGUUUUGAUCAAAAAGCCUGGGGAAAAUAUUUAGAGGUGAGACUGCAAUGAAACUAAUACUUCCUUAAAAAUAAAACAUGCGUUUGUGACUCAAACCAAUGAGAGUUGGAAAAGUCCCUACAAGGGAGCACUCCCUCUAUUUCUAGCUUCCCAGCACAACCUCUCCUCCCCCCACCUUAUAUUAAGAACAGAAAAGAGAGUCUUGCCGGAUAAACGUACACUUCCUAGCAGGAGAUCUGCUCCCCCUGGUUUAAUUGGGAUUGAGGAGUAAAUACGGCUAUUUUAGGCAGGAGGAUAGAAAUUAGUUUGAUGAAGAGUAAAGCGAACUCAUGCCUUAGAAUCACUUGCCAGAAAAGAAGUGUAUACACAAACAGAAUAAAACAUUGUUGAUCAGAGUUCAUUUCAGCUAGAAGUUUCUUUCCUGCCCAGCGUCCCAAACUCGGGAAAAUGUAAAAAGUUCUUUUGGCUUCUUGUAUUUGGAGCAAGGUGAAAAUAAACCCCCAGGAAAAACACAGACACAAACAUGAUAGAAACGACCCGAGACUUUUCAGGCCUACUGGCCACGCAGGCUUUUUGGACAAAAGCGUGGAUGUUGGAGAGAGUUUGGAAGGAACGGACUUUGGGGUCCCUUCGUCCCCCGGAGCUCCCCAGCCCUCCUCGUGGUCUCUUUUCAAAGCAGCCACUCAUGGGAUGCUGUGUUCUCAGGGUCCUUGGUUGUAGGGGGCAUGAGCACAGAUUUACAAAGCUUUAAGGUUUCUGAUUUUACCUCAUCUUCCUUAUAGAAAACAUCUGAGCUUAAGGAACCACAGAGCAAACUUUCUCAGUGCCCCUGCAUGGCUACACCACCACGUGAAAGAGAGACACACCUAGAAAAUCAAAACUGGUGUUGGUGUCACAAGAAAGCCAUUUAAAAAAUGCGUUGGGGAGAGGGGGGCCGAUUUCGCCUUUCCUGGACGAAUUGGCCCCGGCAGGGAAAGGAGUGCUGGCUGCAGCUGGAAGUUCGCUGUGCGGCCUGGGGUGGAACUUUCUCGGAGACGUGCAGAGAACUGGGCUCUGUCGGGAUCAUGCAUGAGAUCGGCACCCAGGCCUGUUGACAUCUCUGCCAGAGACAGCCUGGACCGCUGCCAGCCCAGGCCUGAACGUGGCCUUAGAGCCACCCCCACAGCCCCAACAAGCCCCAGACAGGUGCCCAAGGGUCUCUCCUCCUGGAGCCCGGCCCACAGCAUGUCUUGGCUAGAAGGGGGAUGUUUGGCUCCCGUGGCAGCCUCCCCAGAGACGCGGCAGGGUUUACUAUCCCGGUUACCCUGUGGGCUCUGGUGAGGAGGAACCCCACUUUGCUAAGCAGUGCCUCCCAGAUGCUCCGAGGGAGACAGAUGUGGCCGUCCUGCGAGCUCAGAGCAGAUCCGCCUGUGCAAGGGCAGAUGUGAGUCUAGAAGGCUCUGGAGCAGAGCUGUACAUUUGCAGCCCAGGCUAGAGCUCUCUCCGCUCUCCAACAACAGGGCUGCGAUCCCUCCUUUUGGGAUGGGCCGAGGGGGCGUGGCCCGGGGCCAGCAACAGAGCACGUACACAUCGGAGCUCCUGUGUGCAACUCCCCUGAGUGUGUCUGCGCCUCUUUCCAGCCAGCGGGGCUCCCACCCACCCAGCCAGGGAGCUGAGCCCUCUUCUGUCAUCAGGCAGUGAGGAAAACCAGGGCCAGGAGGGCAGGGGUGCAGCCUUGAAGUGGGAGAAGGCAUGGAGGCCAUCAGAGGGCCUGCUGGGCAGAUGAGGGGACCUGCAUCCGAGCCACCCUGGGGGGCGGCCGGAGAGAGGACGGGGUGGGCAUUCGGGGUAGCAUGCAGCCAGCAGCCGGCUCUGCCCCAGCCCCAGAAUGUGCCCGCUCAGGGAAGCUGCGCCCAGCCCUGAGUCAGCCGAUCCCACGGGACUCCCACUUGGCCCCAAUAACUGGACUCCAGGCCACCAGAACGCCUCGUGGGUUCCUGAUUGUAUCAGAAUGGCAUUAAAAGGUCCAGACCGGGCACUCGUAGGCCAUGCCAUAUUUAGCCUCAGGUUCACCCGGAGAAUAUUUUAGGUGCUGCUUGAAAGAGGAGAUCUCGGCCCAUUGCCGGCUGUCACAUGGCGAGUGUAGACUCGCUCCCUCGCAGGCCUGGUGGAGGUGGCUGGGUGCUCACUGGCACAGAUGCCCGCAGUCCCUGCCAGAGCUUUGGGGCCAUGAGACAGGUGCCAAGGAGCCAGCGAGUGCCUGGGUAGCCGGUUCUGUGCCGGGAAGGCUGUUCACCCCGUUUUCGUCCUGACGGCGAUAAGCUCGCUCCAUUCACAGGACUCACAGAGGCUGUUUCAGGCCCUCUCUCCUCUCGAUGGCCCAGUGCGAUAUGCCAGCUUGCUGAGUGAGCAGCUUCCUCCUCCGGUGUCAGCAACUGCGGAGGGGUUAACCCUUUCAAGGCCCGGGGUGCUGGCUGGCAUGGGGGUCCCGCCUCCAGGGCCCUUGAAGGCCACAUGCCAGGGGGAGCCACUGCCCUGGAUGCCUUAAUCCUCCAUCGUUAGUGGCCGGACCAGAGAGAGGGCACCCUGGACCUUAACCGUGAUUUCCUCCUUUGGCCCCAGCAGCAGCACUAACCACCAGGCUGCCCUACCCAAACCUUCGCCCUUCAGCCGUGGAAACAGCUGCUUGCUUUGCAGAUACUUUCCCCUGGGUUUCCAGGUUCAUUAACUUUCCUGCAUUCCGGAGGAGGAGGUAUUGAUGGAUUCCGGGUCCCCUUAGAUCAUUAAUGAGAGUUCGGAAUCAUCGUUCGGGGUCUUGGGGAAAUGUCCCAGGUCCCUAAGAGUUGCCUGGUGUUAGGGAAUCAGCCUUGGAAGCUGGUUUUCCAGGUCUUGGUUGUCUUGGCACAGCGGAGGCGGCCGUAUCAAAGCCACUGUGUGGAGACACAUUGAGCCAAUGAUCAGCCAGUAAUUCUCAGCCUUGGGGGAGCCUGGUGGGGCCGCCAUACACUGUGAUAGCAUUGCUUGGUUUAAAGGUUCCUCUAACUUUGCGCACUUUUUCCUUUUUAGUUUUGGCUCUUGGGACUCUGAGAGCCACCCCUUCCUGCCCGGCUGGCUCGUUACCGCAGGGAAAAUGAGGGACUUUUGGGGGCAGAUGUGUUUCCAUUCCACUAUCAUAAUGCCCCUAAAAAUCCUUAUUGCUCUUGCAGUAUUCUUCGGGGGUCCCUGGGCCAGCCGGGCGCGCGGGGAAGACGGCAGCUCUGAGUGCCUCCAGCAACUAGAAGAAGAGAGAAAGAAGUUCCCCCACAUUCUCCCUUCUGGUCCCGGGUCCAUCUCCCCUCAGAGCUCAGAACUGUUCACUGCCCGAAAAGUAAAAAGACACCAUCCACAGACACUGGUGGCUCAACAUGCCUUUUGCCCUCCGGGGGCAGAAUGUUGGAGAUCAGGCCUGGGAACAGCAGGGCAGCUGUGGCUGCUGUCAGCGUUUGCUCUGGGGGUUUGUCGGGGGAGGUGGGGAAAGUGGAACAAGUGUUACCUGUUUGACGAGGCAGGCGUAUUUCACCGUUCAGCCUGGUCCUUCCAGUGGGGCCUCUGGGAUCCUCACCUUGGCAGGGGGCCCUGGGCAGUCCUGGCUUGCUCACCUGCUCCUGAGACAGGCCACUUUCCCACUCUCUGCCUCGGUUUCCCUGUCUGCCAAGGGAGGGGCAGCACCCCAUGCUCUUGGCCUCAAAGGGUUCUUGGUUGUACCCAACAUUAUAAUGAGCUCAAGUGAUACGCAAGCUCUGAAGCUGCUUGGAAAAUGGGGAAGUCAAGUUAUUAAACAUGGGAGGUGUUGGUGCUAAUGUUUACUAAUACACACCUAACGUGCUGAGACAGUUCAGACAGGAGGGGAGACUGUCGCCCCACAGUGUAAGCACCGGUUUCUGGAAUCAGCCAGUCAGAACUCUGAGACUCUUUUGCUGUGUCACCCCAGGCAAGUGACUCAACCUCUCUGGGCCUCCAUUUCCUCACACAUGAAACCCACGUUUUGGAACAGAAGUUUGCCAAGUCUGAUAUGCACAUCUACUCAAUGAGUUUAAGUGGUACCUGGCUAAAGAUGGAAAUUAUUCUCAUAGGUAUUUCUUUGUACAGCUUAUCUCUAUUUAUGGCAAGCGGUUUGUUUUCGGUUUAGGGUAGGGAUAGACAGGCCCUUUUUUAUACCAAUUUAUGCAGGUAAAGAUAGAUGAGUUGCUGGAAAGAAAAGCAUUAAGCAAAUAAUAAUACAGGUGGCCUGAGGAUGGGGCAGAAAUCAAGAUGCCAGUUUGCAAAGUUUCAUAGGUCGGCUUACUUAAGAAUUCUUGUUUGUCUUGGGAUUUUUGCAUCCACAUAGUUGGCGUGGGGAGGAGAUGGGUGGGUUGCUAAUUCAAAUCUCUGGAGGGCUCCACCAUGGCAGUCUGAGUGUCACAAGUCUUCCCUUCUCGGGGGGAUGGGAGGGGGCCCACCUCUCUGCUCACCGACGCCAGGGAGACCCCUCAGACCUCCAGCCCUGCACCGACCCCUAGCUUUGACUUGUCUCAUUUUAGGAUCACGAUGACCCAGUGCCCUCCUUCCUGGCCAGGGCACCUCUCUGGGCCUCAGUUUUCUCAGUGAAAUGGGGAGAAUAACAAACUCUGUCCCAUAGCUGUGUGUGAAGAUGGAGGGGUUAACAGGGCUCCAUCGGGCGCUGAUCCUUCACAAACAGCACCCACUCGGAGGGCAGUGGGCCCCAGCGGCGCUGGACACGCGGGGGGCGCUCCUUCCACAGGCCACCCUGCGCCACCCGGCACCAGCUCCCUGCCCACCCCCUGGGAGGGUGGCUUUGCAGGGAAACAGCAGGCAGCCAGCAGGGGCGGACUCUGGUUUCACUUUCUGCUGUGUCAUGGAGUGGGGGGUGGCAUCGGGGCCCAGCUGGCCAGCUGGGGCGGGCACCGAGAGGCCAGCAGACAGCUGCUGGCCCAGCUGCCAGAGCACAAGCCGCGCCCCCCUGCAGCCUGCCAGGGUGGGGGCUGGGUCCUCGGGUGCCCCUUAAGGGCCUCUCCUCCCGCACGGUGGGGAGAACCCCAGGCGAGAAAAGCCAGGAGCGGGUGAGAUCGUUUCUUGAGCUGUGGGAUCCCCCAAAAGCAACUUCUCAAGUCACGCAGCCUUGAAGUUCUGAGAAGUGCAGCUGUGGGUUCUGGAUCAGGGUGCGCUGGCUGGACACCUGCUCCCUGCCUCCCUUCACUGGGCACAUGGUGGGUGAGGGCCUACUGUGUGCUAAGCAGUGUGCCAGGUGCCGGAGGUACAGCAGGGAGCAGGACAGCCCCUGCCCUCAUGGGGCUCCCAGUUAAGUCUGGGAGAUGGACAAAAGAGCGAGCAAGAAAGAAUCCCGCGUUAUGGGGGAAAUUCCAGCCUGAACGUCUGGUGCUAGCAUCUCAGGGCAGGGGCGUGCCUGCGUAUGCACGUAUGUGUGUCAGCAACGUGUCACCUCCUGGGACACAACGGUAGGUUAAGAAUACAGACCCAGGGGCCAGAGGUCCUGUGUUUGAAUUUCCACUGACUGGUGCGUGACCUCAGGCAAGUGGUCUCUCCUCUUUGGGCCUCAGUUUCCCCGUUUGUAGGUGCAAGAAUGAGAGUAUUUACAUGGUAGGGCUGCGGCGAGGAUGAAAUAAACGAGCGUCCGUAGAGAAUGGAGGACAGCGCCUGGCAUCGACCGUGUGCUGUGUAAGUCUUAGCUGUUCUCUGAGAAUAAUAAAUGCGCGCUCUUGUAAGAUGAAAUGCGGCCGUCACGGCGGGCUGAGCACAGCGGGAGUGCUGUGGGGUCCAUCCCCUCUGCCAUGCGCUUGCCAUGCUUUCUCAGGAGCCACAACCACCCCUCCGAUGCCCUUACCAUCUUGUUCAGAUGAGGAAACUGAGGCUCAGGCAGAUAAAGAGGCCUGUCCCAGGUCCCCAGCUGGAAAGGAGUUGGGCCACCAUGCAGGGCCGGCUUUGCAGUGGUGGGCCCUGCACUUGGUUUAAUGCUCUGCUGUUGUCUUAAAUUCUCAAUCAUUUUGGAAACAGGAGCCCCGAGUUUUCAUUUUGCAAAUUAUGGAGCCCGUCCUCCCCAGACCGGACUUAGUCCAAAGCCAUCACUCUUAACGACUCCCAUCCAUAUGUCAUACAGCCGGCUCCAGAAUUUUCCAGAUCAUCGACACAGGGCUUAUGGAGGGACUGAAAUCCUGGGAAGAAUAUGAAGCCUUUCUCCUGGGCUCAACUGCCCAAGUGCCUGUUUGUCUGUGGCCCCAGUGGAAGGCAGGCGGGGAGGGCAGGGCUGGGACUCAUUCAUUGCCAUGUCCCCAGGGCCUUGCUUGUAUUAGCUGCUCAGUUAAUAGUUGUGAAAACAGGUGAACGGGAGGCUGCUGUCUCUCAGAAACAAACCUACGUAAAUGACCCCUUCCAGGAGAGCGGGUCGUCAGGGGUGCAGUGUACACUCUGGCCGGCCCAGCAGGCUUCCGGACAACCCCUGAAGGCGUGGAGAUGCACGGCUCUCUUCCCCAUGCCCCAAACCUGUGUGCCAACACCUUUAACCGAUUACUGUUUAACAGGUUCUGGUGGGGAGCCCGGAGACAACAGAAAUAUUUAAAGACAUGCGGGCCUGGAUUCCUGAGUGCCUGGUGUUAAGAAAGAUGCAGAGUUCAGCCAAAAGAAUACGCAGGUUGUAGUUCUGGGCCAGUUCAAGUCCCAGCCCAGGGGCGGGGGCACAGUUUCUUGGACUGUUAAAUGGUAGGGUUUGGGGGCCAGCCUGGUGGUGUAGUGGUUAAGUUUGAAUGCUCCGCUUCAGCAGGUGGGGUUUCCCAAUUCGGAUCCUGGGUGUGGACCUACACAGCAGUCAUCAAGCCGUGCUGUGGCAGCAUCCUACAUACAAAAAAUAGAGAAAGAUUGGCACAGAUGUUAGCUCAGGGCCAAUCUUCCUCACCAAAAAAAAAAAAAAAAAAAAUGAUAGGGUUUGGAUUAAAGGUCCUUUUUCCUCUGAAAUUAGAGUUCUUCUACAUUCUCAAAGCUCCAAAUGAUAAAUAUGACUAAGAAGCAAAGAAUCAUCUCAAAGCCUUUAAAAUAUUUAUAACAAUAAUAAACAUUUGUAUGUUUUUGCCUGCUGAUUUCACAGGCUGUAUCUCCAUUGCUUCAGAUAACCCUGUGAAGUAGGAAUUACCCUCAUUUUCUAACAACCAUCAUAACCACCAGCAUAUAUUGAAUGCUGUAUAUGGACUAGGCACUUGACACACAGGAAGUCAUUUUAGUUGCUCAAGUGACGUAUGAGGCAGGCACUGUUAUGAGCUACUGCCUACUUAAGAAACACGCCAAAGAGAGGAACUGACUUGUCUAAGGUCACACACCCGCCAGGUGAUGAGUUGGGGUUCAAGCCUGGAUCUUCCAUCUCAGGGGUCAGCCAACUUUUUCUGGAAAGGGCCACAUACUAAAUAUUUUAGGCGUUGCAGGCCGUGCAGUCUGUGUCACAGCUGUUCCACUCUGCUGUUGUAAUAAGAAAGCAUCCACAGAUAAUACGUAAAGGAAUGGACAUAGCUGUGUGUUCCAAUAAAACUUUAUUUACAAAAACAGGAAGUGGGCCAAGUUUGGCCCACAGGUUAUGGUUUGUCCACCCUUGUGGCAGAGGCCCAAAGCUGCCUUCCAAUUAGGAAGAACAUGGCCCUGGCAGUGUGAGUCACCUGGGAGGUGACUGAGUUACAUUUCAGAGCAGAGACCGCUGGCAUGCAGGGAGAGAGUGGAGGCGAGAGAGGACAUUUCCCAGAGGCAGGAGGCUGGAGCCCAGGGCUUCCUGGCAGGAGGGGUGGGGGAAGGCAUGAUUUUUUUUUUAAACAGUUUGAUUGAGAUAUAAUUCACUUACCAUACAAUUCACCCCUUUAAAGUGCAGAGUUCAUUGGCCUUGAGUAUAUUCACAGAGUUGUGCAACUGUCAUUAUAAUCAAUUUCAGAACAUUUUCAUCACCUCAAAAAGAAACCCUGUAACCUUUACAGCAGUCACCCACCCUAAUCGUUCUGUCUCUGUAGAUUUGCCUGUUCUGGAUAUUUCAUAUACAGUCACGUGUCGCUUAACGACAGGGAUACGUUCUGAGAAAUGUGUCAUUAGGUGAUGUCAUCAUUGUUCAAACAUCACAGAGUAUAGGUACACAAACCUAGAUGGCACAGCCCACUACACACCUAGGCUCUAUGGUACUGAUCUUACAGGCCCACCAUUGCAUAUGUGGUCUGUCAUUGACCAAAACAUCCUUAUGUGGUGCAUGACCGUAAAUGGAAUCAUACAGGAUGUGGUCCUUUGUGACUGGCUGGUUUUUUUCAAAUCUCUUUAUUGUUUUGUGUUUUUUUUGGUGAGGAUGCUUUGCCCUGAGCUAGCAUCUAUUGCCAAUCUUCCUCUAUUUUGUAUACGGGAUGCUGCCACAGCAUGGCUUGAUGAGCAGUGUGUAGGUCCGUGCCCAGGAUCUGUACCCACAAAUCCUGGGCCACUGAAGCAGAGCGUGCAAACUUAACCACAAUACCACCAGGGUCCCCUGGCUUUUUUCGCAUAGCGUUAUGUUCCCAAGGUUCAUCCAUAUUGUAGCACGUGUCAGAACUUCACUUCUUUAUAUGGCCGAAUAACACUCACGUUUUAUUUAUCCCUUUGUCACUUGAUAGACAUUUGGGUUGAUGAUAUUUUGGGCUAUUAUAAUAAUGCAGCUAUGAACAUUCAUGUGUGAGUUUUUGUGUGGCCGUCCAUUUUCAUUUCUCUUGAGUAUAUACCCAGGAGUGGAAUUGCUGGGUCAUAGGGCGACUCCAUUUUAACAUUUUGAGGAAGUGCCAGAGGCACGUUUUAUACUGUGUUUUUCAGCUUUGUAGGAUGGACUGAAAGUAGAGAAAAUACUGUGAGGAGCACCCCGUAGCCAUCAUCCAGGCUCAGCGAUGAUCGCCCUUCUUCUGGGCUUGUUUCACCCCCUCCCCUUCUCCACCGUUGUUACCCACUGAGUAGUUUGAAGCCGCUUCAAACCCUGCCCGUCUUGUUCGCUUGGCUCAGAGGUCAACUUUUGCUUUUGUUCCAAGUCGUCUACACCCAUAUUCUUGGGCAGAUGGAGUUUGGGGAGAAUGGAGGAGUUGGGGCAGAGUCGAGAGUGGGUCAGUGUGGGGUGGGAAAGGAAUAGCUCCUGAGUGAUGCAGGACGGGCUGUGUAAUUUACAAAAUGAAAAUACGGAGCCCUUUGUUCAGAAAUUAUCGAGAAGUGCAAGAUGACGACAGCAGAGCAGUAUACCAAACCUGGGCCCUGUGCACGGCCCAGGUCUCGUGCCCAUGAGGCCCGGCCAAAGGGUGCCCUAGCAGCACGGAUGUGUUGGACACAGGAAUGUAGAGCCGUGGGCAUCUGGGAGAGACAAGGACCCCUUACCCCCAAUCCCUGGAAACGUUCCAAGGAAAGUUUGGGUCUCCCAUGGCACUCGGGACAGGGUUCAAGCCCGUUUCAUUUGAAUCUCUAAAAAUAAGAUGACCCCAGCUGACAUGUGGGUUGUAAGUACUUUUAAAAAAUAGCCACUUGUCUUACUAAGCCUUCUUCCCUAAGAGCCUGCAGUUGUUUUAUUUGGCCACACCAUUUUGUCCUGGGCUCUGAGCGUGCUCGGGUGUCACAGCGAAUGACAGGCUGCGGUCUGCAGAACAGAGGGCUGCUGGUUAGCAACCAACGCGCAGCAGGGAUGCCCAGGAGAGGCAGGUGGCCCUGGCACAUCUUGGCAACCAGUGUGGCACCCAGCCCCUCCCAGACAGAGCUCCACUAGCCUUCUCCAAGGAUGGUCUCCACCAACCAGAGGAACCUUAGUUCCUGCGCUUAUCUAGACUCUCCACCCAAGAAUCCACCCAGAGACUCAGAGCCCACAGUGUGUUGGAAUGGCACCCAAGGAUGUACUUGCACUAACAGAACCUCGUCAUGAAGGGGUGUGCAACUCGACUGGGAAGGACGGGCGGGGACUCAGUGAGGAAGGCACAGACGAGGAUUUGCACUCCCCCCUGUUCUCCGCGGGGUUCUCAAUGAGUGAAGGAAUGUUCAUUCAUUCAUUCCGUUAUUUGAAUGCCUAUGGUACACGACGGGGCUGUAUGCCGGCCAUGAUCAAUACAGUAACCGACGAGACAGACCCAGUUCCUACUCUUAAGGCCGGGAGAGGCAAUCAUAAACCAAACAUGAACAACAAAACAUUUUAAAUUUGAUUAAAAUAAUGUAAUGAUUGCUAAAAACAACCACAGCCACAGGUCUGAGUAAACCUGCUCGCAGCUUCCGGGUUUGUAGACAGCCAGCGUGGAUCUCAAAGCAAAGCCCAAUUUAGGACUGAGGUCGGUCUCAGCAGUGAGCUUAGAAGCAGCAAAGCCAGGAGAAGGCUCCAGAGGAGGUAGGUGGCUCUGCUUUUUCUCUUAUUUUUCUGCCAGCACCUUCUACCCCACUUCCGGUAACAGACCUGACACCCAGUGGGCCUACGGCCAAAGAUGGCCACUCACGGCCUCCAUCCUGCUACAGUAAUUGGUCCAGGUGGGGACACGUGACCCAAUGUGGCCAAUCGCAGCAGCCCACCACUGAGCCGGGCCACAGUGAUUGGUCCAGUGUGGUCACGUGACCCAAGCGUGGCCAAUCCAGGAUGGUCCUUACUACAGCUGGGAAAAGGUUGCCGCUUUCUCCCUCAGCAUCCAGAGCUGCUUGUGACCCCAGAGACCCCAGGCACAAAGGGCGGGGGAGAUGAGAGAUAGGGUGGAGGGAGGGGAGUAGGAGAGAGGUGCGCUGCCCUGUGACCCCACAGCCUUCCAGCCCUGCGUCCAAGAGCAGCCCAGCUUCUCCCUUUCUUCACCGUAGCUCCCCGAGUGAAUUAAAUCCCCAUCUUGCCUCAGUCCGAUCAACUCUGGUUUCUGCGCGGCCCAACACGUCCCAGUUUAGGGCGUGGGACUGUUUCCCUCUUCGUGGAUUGUGUGAAACUAAAAGGGGUAGGUCAGCCUCAGAGCUCAUUCUCCCCGGGCUGUGCCUCCAGCACUUGAGAAUAAAAGCAUCGUCAGACACAUCUCCAUCCCCCCAUUAAUUUCCCACUGAAUCAGAGCUAAACACUUGCUCUUGGACUUCAGGUUCCACCCUAUUCCUGCUUGCCUCCGUCUCCCCAACCUCACCCCGAAAACACCCCCUUCUCCUCUUUGCUGCGCUCUCCACCAUGGGCGGAGCGUGCUGCUUGUCCCGGCCGCUGCUCCGAUGCCCCCCAUGUUAUAUUUGUAAUGAUUUUGUUUGACUGGUUUCCCCCAUGAGUGGGGACCUUGAGCAUGGGGACCCGGGCUUCCCCCAUCUUCGUACCCCCGGGUGCUGGCGCGCAGCAGGGAGACAGCAAGCGUGGGAGGGCGGGAGGCAGGGAAGGAUGGAGGAGGGGAGACAGGGGUGUUCAUUCCUGUUUAUUCUGGUCCAACCAGUGGUCCCUCGGAGGGUCAAGUUUAUAUUCGUUUCCUCUGCUGGAGACUCCCGCGUCAGGUAGACACAGAGCUGUUUCCCUCACUCCUUCAGGCCUCUACUCCAAAGUCACCUUCCCCCGGGAACUGCAUUCUCCCAGUCCCCUUCUCGACCCCUGUCCCUCUUCCAUGCUUUCUUGUCCUCUUUAGCACCCUCCACCACCAUCGCUCCUUCUCUGUGGUCCAUUUCUUUUACUUACUCUCUCUCUCACUGAAAUGUCAGCUCCAGGUGGACAGGCAUCUUUGUUUUCUUCUCUGCUGUCUGUAUCCUCAGCACCUAGAACUGUGCUUGUCACCCGGUAGACGCUCAGUACCUAUCUGUGGAAUGAAUGGAUGAAUGAAUGAAUGCUUUGUGUUCACCAAACCACAGUUCUAGCAAACUUGUUUCUUAAAGAACCUAUGCGCUCCAUGGAUUUUCCAGGUGUUAGGAAAGUCAGGUGACGUGUGAGUUUCCCAGGGCCGCUGUAGCAAAUUACUACACAUUGAGUGGCUUAAAACAACAGGAAUUUAUUAUUUCACAGUUCUGGAGGCUAGAAACCCAAAAUCUGGCGGGGCUGCACUGACCCCAGGGGCUCCGGGGGAAAAUCUGUUCCUUGCCUCUUCCAGCUUCCGGUGGCUCCAUGACUUGUGGGCACAUCACUCCAGUCUCUGCUUCUAUCUUCACACGUUCUUCUUCUCCCUGUGUCUGUCUGUGCUUCUGUCUUAGAAGAAGGCAUGUGAUUGCUUUUACUGCUUAUCCAGAUAACCCAGGACAAACUCCUCUCCAGAUCCCUAACUGGAUCACCUCUUUUGUCAUAUAAGGUCAUAUUCACGGGUUCCAGGAACUGGAAGGUGGGCAUACCUUUCUGUUUUUCACAUCUCUUUUUUCACAUUUCUCUUUCAAUCCAUCCAGCCCUUAGUGGUUAUUUGCAUAAAGACCAGAAAAGCAGAUUCCCACCACUACUGCAUUGGCCUCACAGAUAUUUAACAAAAAGAGUAUUAUUGUUGUAUUAUCUUGCUCGCAUCCGAGUGUGGAAAUGAUUUUUCAAACACCAUUUUAUGUUUUUUAUUUAUCCUGAUUUUUAAAAAUAAUACCGUGCUUAUGGUAAAUAAAAAAUAGUACAGAAGAGAAAAAUGUGGGAAAUAAAGGAGCGCCUUUGCAAUUUUUCUCGAACUCCAAUUUCACUUUCUGAAAAGUAGCUACUGUAUGCGGUUGGCAUAAUCGUCAUAAAUUUUCUAAGCAUUUUCGAGUGCCUGCACUUUCUCUGCUCAUAACGUUAAGAAAAUCGGGUGUGCUCCCAUAUAUCCUGAAGACACGACAGCCCUCAGACCCACCGCCUUCUUUUUAAAGCCUUGUAGCAUGGCACCAUACCCAACCUGUCCCUCACUGGCUGACGUUUCAGGUAACUCGAGGAUUUUGCUGUUAUAACAUAUAUAUUUUUUGGCAUGUGUCCAAGUAGACUUACAGGAUACAUUCCUAGAAGUGGUCUUUCUCAGUGAGAGGAUAGGUGCAUUUUUAAUUUCUACAGCGACUUCCCAGUGUUCUUCCAAAAGGUUGUAUCAUUCACACGCCCAUCAACAGUGUACGUGCUGUUUCCAGCACCCUCGCCCAACCUGGCAAGGACGCGGUGUGUCAGGGGAAGCAAAUCCUAAAUGAGGUAAGUGGACUUUCCCUGUGGCCUGGGUAGGGGUGGACAUGGCCUCCAAGGUUGUCCCUGUGGCUCUCUGAGGUGCUAAGCCGUCCAGAGCUCUCGUUAGUUUGGGUUUUAUAAACAAAGACAGAGUUUGGGGAGGUGAGCCAGAACCGUGCAGCAAGAAGCGUUAUGCAACUCAGUAUUUAUUUCUUUAGUGCAGUUAGAACUUAAAUAUGGUCAAAACAUAUUCUUCUUUUAAUUUACACAAACAAAUAUGUUCCCAGGCUGACACCUCGGGUGCCAAGUUUCUAGGGGAAACGAAAUUCUCCUCUGAGAUUAUAAACCACUAGAGAGAAGAUGGAAAUGGAAAAGCCACCGCGAGUCAGCUUCACACAUCCAGAACUGGGCUGCUAAGAGCUGUCUCUUUCUGUCUUAGCUGCGGAGAAACCUGCCAGUAAUUUCAGCAAAUGAAACGUGGGCCGCAGAAAGGCCAGAGGAUGGAAGAUGCUCCGGUUUUGACAAAAGGAGGUCUGCUCAGCUUGGAAUCCUCUCUCCUGUGAGUCAGGAGAUGGAAAGCUAUAUCCAGAGGGGCUGAUGAAUUGAGAGAAAAAGAAACGAGGCCAGUCCCCUGACUCAGCAGUGACACAUGAAUGAUGCUCCAUAAGUAGUCAUCCCAUGGACCAACCAAUGCCACCGUCACCUCCGACCCGGCCUCCAGCCGAAAUCACAGAAACCCUUUAUAGCCACCCUGACACCCAGUUCCCAUUUCAGACAGGCUGGUAUCCAUGAUGUCACGUGAUAGAAGAUGAUUCCAGAAAAAGACUGGUCAAGAGGCUCCUGGAGGGAGAGAUGGCAGCCAGGAUUGAGAGGUUUUUUUCUUUAUUAUACCUGUUCUGUCCACUAUUUCUUGGCUCUGUUCACAUUGCUGCUCUAGUACCAGCUCAGGGAAAAAACGAAACAAAACAUGAGCCCCAGAAUUUGAGACAAGAUAGCUGGUUGGUUUCCUCUCUGCUUGUAAUUUAAUGCUGGAAAUGUUCAUGACUUGCCUUGGCCGCAAAGGUAAUAAUAAAAGUCUGCAGCCUGAUUAUUUGGCUACUAAUUCCCUUCUUGGUGUUUUUCUUCCCCUUUCCUUAAAUUACUUCCAGAGUUCGUCCAGAUUUCUCGUUGCUAAGCUGUAAAGUUCCGGGCUUCGCAGCGCCCAUGCUGAUUGGCAGGGAGGCCCGGUCAGCUCCAAUCAGAAGCAGGUCGCCGAAAGGAGCAUCCACAACGCAGCUCGCCCCGGGGUUUUGGAAUUUUCUCGCUGACGUUAUGAACCGCAGAGGUCUUUGUCUAACUCUGCAAAACCUGUUCUCUUGAUCUUGUCUGCCUCUCUCUGGAGCGCAGGCUGUUGGGGGACGCCAGAGGUCCUGGAAUUUCCCCCGGAAGGAUGGGGAGUCCCUGGCUCACCGGUUUGGGCUCAGCGACAGAGAUGCCAGGGCCUGCUCGUGGUGGACCAUAGCCAACAGCGUGACGCUCUGCCACAGGCCGGUGAGAUGCCUCAGGCCCCCCAAAACUGACCUCUCCUCUCCCAGGCCAUCUUCUAAGCUUGGUGACUGGAGGAGGCUGAGGCAAAGGGGAUGCCACUGAAAGUGGGAUGGUUGGGGUGGAGACCACGUUUGUAAAGGACGUUAAAACACACAUGGAUGGUAGGGGCACGGUGGAGGGCCAUUCUGUGUUCCACCUCUAGAACCCCAAUGCAAAGAACCACUAUGAACUGAAACUUAUUUUUUAGACCACUCUAUUGAGGUACGACUGACUUACAAAAAGCUGUAUGUAUUUAGUGUCUACUACUUGAUGAGUUUGACAAUGAGUAGACACCCAGGAAACCAUCACCACGAUCUAUGCCAUAAACAUAGCCAUCACCUCCAGGAGUUUUCACCUGCCAUCUUUAUGAUUUUUAUUUUUGAUGAUAAGAACAUUUCACAUAAGAUCUACCCUUUUAACCAAAUGAGUAUAUGAUGCAGUGUUGUUAAUUAUCAUCACCAUGCUGAGUGUUAGAUCUCCAGCACUUAUUCAUCGGGUAUAAUUGAAACUUUGCACCCCUUGACCAAUAUCUCUGCCUUUCUCCCUCCUCCCAGCCCCUGGCAGUCCCCAUUCUACUCUCUGCUUCUACGAGUGUGACUAGUUUAGAUUCCUCAUAUAAAUGGACUCAUGUAGUAUUUGUCCUUCUGUGACUGGCUUAUUUCACUUAGCAUCAUGUCCUCCAGCUUCAGCCAUGUGUCCACGGAUGACACGAUUUCCUUCUUUUCUAAGACUGAGUAGUAUUUCAUUGUGUGUAUAAACCACAUUUUCUUUAUCCAUUCAUCCACCGAUGGACACUUAGGUUGCUACCAUGUCUUGGCUAUUGUGCCAGAAAUUGUACACACACAUCUGCUCCCAUCUCAAAACACCCAUUGGACAGACUGAGAAUGUGAUGGGCGUCUGCUGGUUUUGCUGCUGCUGCUUCCCUCUUUCACUAACGGAGAAGGCCUGCCACAGGGCAAGUCAUGUGACCCAGGCCUGGUCACAGUGAUUGGCUCUGGGGUGGGCACAUGAACAAGCUGGGCCAAUCAGAAUCUUCCUUGAGACUUUACUACCAGAACUAUAGGAAAAGUCUCCCUUCCUGCCCCUGGAUUUGCUGAGCUGGCGACCACAAUGAACACACGUGGAAGGUGACUGAGGGAGAUAUGAAGUCCCUGCAACAAGGCUUGAGCCCCAGGUGCAGCCCAGCCUUAGGGGAAGUCAGAUCCACUCCCUGGAUUUUAGUUACAGGAACAGGCUCCCCUUGGCGACCAGAGGAGUUGUCUCAAAAUGCCAAGCUGACCUCAUUGCCUUGCUGGAGGAGGCUGGGUGAUGAUCUGAUGGAACACGUUUGCCUCCGGGGAUGUUCUGAGAAUCGUGCAACCCCUUGGUCCCACCCGAUAUUCAGGCACAAAGUCAGCAAGCCUGGGAGCUGGGGAGCACGCAGCUCCCUGCAUCCGCAGCUGUCCCAUCGUUUAUUCCACAAAGAGUUUCUAGUGCCUCACAGGCACUGUCCCCUCUGCUGGGGCUCCAGAGGUGACCAACAGCAACCUGAGCGAAACUCACAGUGUGCUCGCCGCGGACCGGGUCCUGCACUCCGCGCUUCUCGCCCAUCCACUCGCUUGCUCCUCCAGCAGCCCCACAAAGCAGUGACUGUUAUUAAUCCCAUUUUAUAGAUGAGAAGGAAAAGGUGCCAGUUCUCAUGAAGCUUAUAUGCUUGUGAGGGAGAUCGACAAAAACAAGUUACACACACACAUGCACACACGCAGGCAUGCACAGACGUGACAUAAUUCAGAAAGUGAUGGACCAAGGGUGAUUCUUGGACUCAGUCCAGAGGCUUCCAGAUGCCUCCUUCUCAACUUGUAGCCUGUAACCUGUGCCAGGCCCAGGGCAAGAGUAGAAAUGGAAAGCUACCUACUGUAGGUCUACAGAUUUAAAAGUCAUAAAUCAGGUACAGGCACCCAGCCCCAAAGUUCAAGUUCUGUCCUGAGCCCCCCCAGACAGCUGCUCCUGAGCACCCCCUUAGGUUUAGGGGUGCACACACUGGGAAGCCAGUCUGCUCUCAGCAGGGCAGGUCUAGAGGAGACCCCUGAGCAGGCUUUGGAAACGGCCCAGUGCUGCUGGGGCAGGGAAUCCUGGAGUCCCGGACUCUCUCCAUCCCUACCUGUCCUCUGCCUUACCUCCCAUACUGGGUUGGUGUCCCCCCAAAAUCGAUGUCCACACAGAACCUCGGAAUGUGACCUUACUUGGAAAUAGGGUCUUGGCAGAUGUCGUGAAGAUAAGAUGAGGUCAUUCGAGGUUAGCAUGGGCCCUAAAUCCAAUGACUGGUGUCCUCGUAAGAAGAGAAGACACAUGCAAGGAGAAGGCCAUGUGAAGAUGGUGGCAGCGAUUGGAGCGAUGCAGCUACAAGCCAAGGAACGCCAAGGAUUACAGGAAGCCACAGAAGCUGGAAGAGGCCAGGAAGGAUUGUCCCGUAGAGCCCUCGGAGGGAGCACAGCCCUGCUGACACCUUGGUCUGGACUUCUAGCCUCCAGAGCUGUGAGAGGCUAACUCUCUGUUGUUUUCUACACCAGGUUUGCGGUUGUUUGUCACGGCAGCCCCAGCAAACGACUGUACUUCCCUGGGCCCUCCCCACCCUGCCCUCCCCCACACCCAGUGUCAGGCUGCUGCAGGAAAAAACAUCACAAGCAGGUGGUCACAUUCCCCACCUCCUCACAAUUCACCUGGCCAACGUCAGAGCCGGAACACUCUUACAGGCCAUCUUUCCCAAGAAGAUCAGCUCCACCUUUGCCCAGGGCAGCUCUGGGGACAGGCUCUGGCUCCAAGGGG
ensembl:lncRNA